AGCUCGUGUAGUACAUGACACUGCAGUUGGGGAAUAAAGACAAAAGAAAAUAGAGAUAAACACAAAACAGAACAAGCGGUGGCGAGAGAGGGGCUAGGGUUUGAGGACUCUGUGAUUCAGUCAAUCGAUUUGAUUUACUCAAGCUAAUCACCAGGUGAGAUUUCGGUUGUGUGUGGUUGUAUGUAUAUACUCAUCUGUUGAAUUCUAUUGUUGUUGUAUUGGGGGUUUUGCUGGGCUGUAGUAUUGAUCGGCGACGAUGGUGGAGAAAGAGCCGCG
rnacentral:lncRNA from 1 species